rnacentral:lncRNA from 1 species
CCAUGGCUCAGCGGUAACAAACCCGACUUGAUCCGUGAGGAUAUGGGUUCGAUCCCCGGCCUCGAUCAGUGGGUUAGGGAUCGGAUGUUGCCAUGAGCUGUGGUGUAGGUCACAGACUCGGCUCAGACCCUGUGUUGCUGUGGCUGUGGCGUAGGCUGGCAGCAGUAGCUCCAAUUCAACCCCGAGCCUGGGAACUUCCAUAUGCCAUCCGUGGGGCCCUUAAAAAAAAUAAAUAAAAAGAAUAGGAGAUGAGGAGAUGAGGGGGUGGGAGGCAGGCCCCGGUGUGCAGUAGACCCUGAAGUGGAGAAUCGGCAGGUGGGUACCACUCAGCAUCCACACUGGAGCUUCAGGCAACAGCAAGUUGCCAUGGCAACAGCCAGACUGGAUCCUCUGCCAUUGUGUUCCAUUCCCACCCUUCCCUCUGGACCACGGCGUGUGGAAAGAGGCAAAGCCUGGAUCUGAAAGCAUUUGAGCCAUGGGGCUGCGUCAUAGCCACAGGAUGAAACAGAAGAUCUAGCGACCAAUCUGACUGGCCCGGUGGGACCAGUACCAUGGUCUCAGGAGGCAGAGAUGACAAGUGGAAGGAGACAGCUGUGGCUUUGUCCUGGGUCUGCCUUUCACCCACAUUCCUGCUCGGCUCACAGAAAUAUUAUCAUGCUGGAAAGAAAAAAAUGCCUUCUGCAGCGCAAGGAGCUAUGUAGCCUUUGUUUAUUCCGUUCCAUGGAGGGAGCAGGGGGCACUCCACAUUCUGCCUAAAAAUAUCCGCAGUGUGCUUCAAAAUAUUUGUCACCCAUGCAGAGAAUUCUGCAGAUCCUCACUGCAGAGCCUUGGAAAGGAGGACACAGAAAGGUGGGCGGAGAAGGACUUCCUCUCACCUGCGUCUCCCCACAGCAAUUCCAGAGAGCAGAUGUCUUGAUCUUCUGGGCCAAGCUCUGGGCUUUCCAUGUGUUUGCAUGGCUUUUGCUGUGUUUUGCUUACUGUGCUAAAUGCAAACUUGAAAGAGACACAUCCCUUCCCCCAUGAACCCGAGAUUCGUCUUGCAUACUGGACCCAGGGACAGUUCUGACCCUGCGGUCUCCAUUCAAUGAGCCAAAGUGUCCCAGGUAUCAUUCUGUCAACAUCUGCCGUCUAGUCUCUGUUGAGCAGUUCCUCAUCCAGGUCCAGUGGGGCACCCCUGGUGCCAUGCACUCCCAAUCCUUUGCUUAAGUCACAGAAGCUCAGUUUGUGGUGGGUUAAAACACUUGUUUCUGUGAGUGUAAAUGCUUUUUAUUGAUACUUAGGUGCCUUUUCCAGGGACCCUCUGGGUACUGGGGUGGAGACCAGGUUCCAGGCAUCCUGAGAGCUGCGGGUCUUCAGACUUGAGGGUACAGAGGCUGGUGUCACUCAAACUUGCUUGUCCCUGACACUCACAGACAGCAAGGCACUGGUUUUCCUUUCCUUCUUUCUUUCUUGCUUUCUGUAGGGCUGCAACUGUGGCAUAUGGAAUUUCCCAGGCUAGGGGUUGAAUCAGAGCUGUAGCUUCCGCCUAUACUACGGCCACGGCAACACCGAUCAGGGCCGCAUCUGCAACCUAGCCUGCACCUUGCAGCAGCACUGGAUCCUUAACCCACUGGAUGAGACCAGGGAUCGAACCCACAUCCUCACGGAUACUAUAUCGGUUCUUAACCUGCUGAGCCACAACAGGAACUCUGAAACAUUAAGUUUGCCAAAAUCUGGCAUUGACUGAACCAGGGAACUUUAGAUCUUCCAACUGAGCUAUUUUGGCCCCCACUCUCUUUUUUUCCUUUUAACACGUACAAAUGCAAUUGCUGUCAAAUCCCUAAAAGCGGCAUUUCCUCAACUUCUCUUACGUGUGAUGAGCCAUCCCUCGGCUCUCUUGGGAUGUUACCUCUGUUUUUAUUUCUUUUUCUUGUUAAUUGUAAACAUUAGCAGAAACCAAAGGACUGGUUCCUUCUCCCAGCAAUUCUGAUUGAGGACAUAUUUCUCCUGUACUAAAAUAAAAUUAAACUCUCUUCCUGGAGUUCCCGUCGUGGCGCAGUGGUUAACGAAUCCGACUAGGAACCAUGAGGUUGCGGGUUCGGUCCCUGCCCUUGCUCAGUGGGUUAACGAUCUGGCGUUGCCGUGAGCUGUGGUGUAGGUUGCAGACUCGGCUCGGAUCCCACGUUGCUGUGGCUCUGGCGUAGGCCAGUGGCUACAGCUCCGAUUCAACCCCUAGCCUGGGAACCUCCAUAUGCCGCGGGAGCAGCCCAAAGAAAUUAGCAAAAAGACAAAAAAAAAAAAAACAAAAAAAAAAAACUCUCUUCCUAAAGAGUCAGCUGGUUUGAGAACUCAGGACCCUCUCAUGCUGCCUGGUCUGUUUUGUUUCGUUUUGUUUUUUUCCUUUUUAGGGCUACACCUGUGUCAUAUGGAGAUUUCCCAGGCUAGGGGUCAAAUCAGAGCUACAGCUGCCGGCCUCCACCACAGCCACAGCAACCCAGGAUCCAAGCUGCAUCUGCGACCUUCACCACAGCUCACGGCAACCCAGAUCCCCAACCCACUGGGGAAAGCCAGGGAUCAAACCCAAGUCCUCGUGGAUCUUUGUAGGGUUCGUUAACCACUGAGCCACGAAGGGGACUUUGAACAGUCUAUUCAUUAAUGACCCAACUCUUAGACCACACCUCCCUGUGGUUCCCCCAGCUUAUGGCUUUUGACCUUAACUCUACAAUUAAUCCUUUCAGUACCCCAGGAAGUAAAAUGGGAAUUGUCCCUUCUUCAGUGGGUAUGUAGAAGACAGGUAUGAGACGCGACCUGUGUCACGAUCCUCAGAACAAAGAGUCUGUGGACGUGAAAGCGCCACUGUGGUUAUUAGAACAAAUAAUAAGAGAAGUUGGCAUCACACGCAUGCAGUUACACAGCCCUGCUCCCACCUCUGCUAGUCCUUUAACUUCACAUGUGACAUUUUGUGGCACAGUCUUUCUGAGUAGCAACCAAAAACCCACUUAGGUAGAAAGAGCCCUGUAGGAUCUCACGGGAGUCCUGGCCUUGCCGUUAAUGUGUGGGAACUCAGCCAAAUCAACUGAUCUUAUUGGCAACUGUAGGAUCCACAAUCCAGAGCCAUAAAUAAGGGACUUAUUCGUGGUCUGGAUGGCUGGGGGAAAAAAGAGAGAGAGGAGAGAAAAUUUUACCUGUAGAGAAAUGCCACCCUAUUAUAGGUGUUUUAUUGAGAAAUGUCAUCUUUUGAAACAUAGCUUCUAUAAUAUUAGUUCACUGUCAACUGGUUACUUUUUUUUAUGCUAUUAAUAAAAUCAGCAUUAAGUAACUGUAAGUGUAUUUACAGUUGCUUCUGAAAACCCAUCAAAGGAACGUAAGUGGAAGGAGAUUAUUUUUUCUACUUGAAGAGACCAUUAAGAGUCUAAAAUAAAAUUUUGAAAACAUCUGUCUUACUUGAAACAUUCAUAAUUUUCUAGCAAAUAAAGGUCACGCAUAUAGCAGUUAAGAACAUGGGCUUCAAAGCUAGAGUGUCUGGGUUCCAAGCCUGGCUAUGCUGCCCUGGGUGACCUUGGAGGAGCUGCUUAGUGUCGGUUUUCUCAUCUGUAAAAUGGGUAUGACAAUAAUAAGUAACUCACAAGGUAGUUGAGAGGCUUGUAUAACUAUCAUUGUUUCCUGAACACGUCUUAUUUAUUGAAUACUUUCUAUUUCUAAGCCCUUAAUUUCCAGAACCACCCCGAGAGGGUUGUCCAUAUACGUCAAUUAGGCGAUGCAUGCAAAGCCCUUCAGACUGUGCGCAGCCAUUCUCAGGCUCAAUCAAGGCUACCUAGUGCUUUAUGUCCCCAAAGAGGGUGCCAAGUGAAAUCAGCAUGCCGUUGGAACGAAAUAAAUAAUUUAACAGGAGGAAGGAUGUUUCAAUGGGAGGCAAUCACCAUGAAUCUCACUUCUGAAGUGAGUUCAUUUGAAUUUGUCAACAAGCUCCUGCUAAAUGAAAUCGGCUGGAGAGCUAUAACUUAAGGCUAAAAUUAAAGGGUGAAUUAAAAACAGUGCCAACGGGUUAGGUGGUGGGGACGGGCCUCGCAGAGUGCCAGGCCUGCUCUUUUUGGGCUUCCUGUUUCCCUUAAUCUGACCCAACAGUGCCAUUGAUUUAAUGGUGGAAAAGCAGGGACUAGGGGUUUGUAGUGUGUCAAGCAGGCUGAAUAAAAAGCAAAAUGAUGAAGGAAGAUUAAACACGCUGCAGCAGUGCUUUUCACACUUUUAAAUUUCAGGAUUGCUCUAUAUUCUGGAAAACUUAUUGAAAAUCUCAAAGAGGGCUUUUGUGUAUGUGGGUUGUUUCUACCUUAUUGGAUGUUAAAAAAGUUACAUUACUUAACAAUCAUAAAGCAUGUCUUGAUCACAUGAAUGAUAAUUUUAAAAUAAAAAACAG